rnacentral:rRNA from 1 species
AUUGAACGCUGGCGGCAGGCUUAACACAUGCAAGUCGAGCGAGCGGCGGACGGGUGAGUAAUGUCUGGGAAACUGCCUGAUGGAGGGGGAUAACUACUGGAAACGGUAGCUAAUACCGCAUACCAUCAGAUGUGCCCAGAUGGGAUUAGCUAGUGGGUGGGGUAAUGGCUCACCUGGGCGACGCUCCCUAGCUGGUCUGAGAGGAUGACCAGCCAAACUGGAACUAGGACACGGUCCAGAUUCCUACGGGAGGCAGCGUGGGGGAAUAUUGCACAAUGGGCGCAAGCCGGAUGCAGCAAUGCCGCGGGUGGGAAGAAGGCCUUCGGGUUGUAAAGCACUUUCAGCGAGGAGGCGUUACUCGCAGAAGAAGCACCGGCUAACUCCGUGCCAGCAGCCGCGGUAAUAC